GGGUCAGUGAUGACAACUCAAUGUCAUGAAGAGAGGUGAUGAUGUAAAAAUCAUGCUCAAUAGGAUUAUGCUGAGGCCC